rnacentral:sRNA from 1 species
ACAAAGGCUAGACAUUUUACAGACUAAUUUGGAAUUUGCUAAAG